rnacentral:lncRNA from 1 species
AGAAUGUUACAAAUAUUCCCUAAGUAAUGGUGGGGUAGAAAUCAACUUCUUUAUAAAAUAUUUAAGCACCCUUACCUUUUUGAAACAAAUCCAACAAUACUAAAUUAAGUCUUCUCAAAAUAAGCAAAUAGUUUGGUGUUUCAAAAGAAAUUGAAACUUUGUGUGCUAAGUCAAAAUAUUGACUACUAGUUAGGUGCUAACUUUCACGAGCAACAAAACCAUUAGGUAUUAAAAUAAAAUGCAAAACAGAAA